UUAUAUACUUAGUAUGGAUUCUAGCAGCCUCUAUUUUUGUUUUGUAUUCAGUGUGGGGUUUAGAUAAAGAAUUUGUAUUGCUUUGACGGAGCUAGGGAGAUAUAGCUCUACAGGAACUGUUGCCAAUCUACUGGAAAUCACCCAGAGAUCUACCAGAAAAUCCACCUCUCCUUGUGCCCUCCCCUGAUUUAUAGCAUCCUCGAGGAUGGCAUGGCUUCGUGGUAUGACCCACUCUAGGAAAAGACUGUCAAUUAGAAAACCACUGUUUCCUGUCCUGACCAAGAACUUCAAAAUGAUUCCCUUCUCUGAUCCAAGGAAAACCACAGUGUGAUUCUGAUUUGGACCAGCAGUAUUAUCUACAGCAAUUUUGGUCAAGCGGUAUCUGGAAUGACAACAUUACAGUUUUAAUUACCAUACUAGCCUGUUAUUUGUUUUAGCUUUCUUUCCACUUUAUAGUUCUUUAACCAGUUUCCAACGCACCCCAUAACCAGAUUCAUGGGAAUCACGCCAGACAUGUCUACAGAACUUCAUAAGAUUGACAUGAAAGUUCAAAUGGGGUAGGAUGGAAGGGCACAUGAACAAAAACUGAAGGAAAGAUAUUUACCUGACCAUUGUACGUAGAAACCAUGGCUUGUUGACAAUUGAUGGAAUGGCUUCAUCCAUGAGAGAAUGUGUUUUGAUAAAGUUUAGAGUGUCAUCUGGAAAUUCAUUGGAAGAAGUGUACUUUUCAAGCGAUGUGGAGCCAGCACAAGAACCUGGCCUAAAUUAAAAACAGGGUGGGAGGGAAUGAAAUUAUUGAUUGCUUUUGUGCAAAUAUUCUGCAUGAACUGUUUUCCUAAGCAUCUAUUAAGCGAGAAUGUGCCAGAAGCUUUGUAGAGGAAACGGAACAAUGCAUAAUACCACCAACUGAAGCACUCUUAGAAUUCCUGUGGGCCUAGUCAUUCCACAGUGCAAGUGUAGAAUUCAGCAAUCAGUUUUGUCUUAUCAUGGGAAUACCUGAUUGAUGGCCAUUAGUGCACAUGAACUUCCUAAACAGAUUAUGAAGUUUGUAAAAUGCAAGUUCACGGUUCAUCUAUCCACACAGAGCCCAAUAAACACAUACACAGCUUGGAAAGAUUCUGCUCACUCCUUAGGCAUGCUCCAGAUUUACUUCUGCAAGGCUCUCAUUCUUGGAAUUAAGAGCGUUUUAUUCAAUUUACAAGGGAAAUGUUACAUUUUUCUGAAAGUGUGAAAAAAGCUGUUUAAAAACACAGCUUGGAGGGUGAAUCCAGCCAGCAUCAGAGUAAACAUCCUCUUUGCUAUGGCUCCCAAGAACACUUUAUUUUUGACAAGUAUGAAAGCCCAAGCCUUUUAAGCAUGAGUCUGCAGAGUCCUUUAAUAAGACACAGUGUAUCUGUCUUGGAUAACUGGAAUACAAAUGUGCUCAGUUUAUUCCUAGAACCUCUCCCAGUACUCUCAUGGAAGCUGGGCCAAAACAGUCAUAUACUGGCAACAGAAAGAUCUGCUUUCUUUUGCGGAGUUCGCCUACCCCAACCAUUUCUUUCCCUACAAUUCCUUCUUGUCUAAUAUAACUGUGCUUGCCCAGACUUUGAACGGCAGCAGAAGACGCUGCAAGUCCACACAGCACAAUGAUGGAUGUACGCAAAUAAGAUUCCAUUAGCUAUUGCUAUGGGGCAAUUAGAAACUUGUAUUGUAAUUGCACAGUAGCAAUUGUGCAAAUAUAGCAUUAUUUGAAUAUGUAUGAAACAACAACAACAACCCAAACUUCUAAUUUGGGGUGGAGGAAGUGCAUCUGCAUGAGAAAUGCGCAAAGAUUAGUACAGGGACAGUGCGGGGGGAAACUGAAAUGAAACGAAACGUGAAUAGCCUUAGACAUAAAAAGGAGCAUUGGAGCUGAAAAAGCAUUUUCUCAGGAGAUCAGGGAUUUAUAAAAGAUUUCUUUUAACCUAGCAUCUACCUUUAUUUUCACAUUUUCCUUACCUUGCUAUUUAAAUGGGAAAUGUCAUUGCCUUGCUAUUUAAAUGGGAAAUGUGGGGGUUUGCUUUUCUUUAGUCAGCAAGAGAGCAGGCAGCAAUGGAGUAACCAUGCUUUGUGAUAAAAGGAGGGUCUUGACAUCCCUUCCAGAGAAGAACCAUUCCAGUUACUGUCUCUGUCUUCUGCAGAAGAGUAGAGCCCCUUUGCUGCUCUUAAGGAGCAUACAAACUUAUAGGGAACUAUUCACUUUUUUCUCUCUCUCCUCCUCCCAUAACACCUGGUCCAGUUCUUCAGCCAGUGGCACUAUUUAUUUAUUUAUUAAAUUUAUAUCCCACUCCUCCUAGAAGGAGUCCUGGGCAGCAUAGCAGGCAAGGGUGAGUAGUUUAGAGCAGGCAUACACUAAUUUAAAGAUCAUGUGUGACAAGAAGUCAGGAAGAGAAGUGCCCUCUUCCAAUAACUAGGACUCUUUAAUGCAACUGGAAUGUCUUUGUCCUCCUAAGCCUGGAGUUGGAUGUUUCUGUCACCCACCCUCAGCUAUAAGGAAGAAUCUCUCUCCAACCUGUAGGAAACAGAUAUGCUAGAUCCAAGAGCCUCGAGUGGCUAGCCUAGCAUGCCUUGGAAUGGGAGCCAGGAGGACGAGUUGAGGGAUGCAUUGCCUUUUCCAGUGGGGAGAGAAAUACUGGUAGUGCUUGCAGAAAUUGAUAUGAUACCUAGAUUUGGAGCAGGAAUGUGCCAUGGCCACAGAGUCAAGCAGCAAUGAGGACAUUGAGUCAGAGGCUAUAAUAUCACUGGCUAAGGAGCUGAAUCAGGCACCUGACUCUGAACCAACUGCUGGUGAUGAGAGGCCCAUUAAACCUGAGGGAUCUGAGGACACCAGGGCCCGUAGAACCUGAGCUGAGAGUCUCACAGGUGCUUUUGUCUGGACCCAGGUGCUUUCCAUGUGACCUCCGUCUAAUGGCAUAGGAAGCUCACCAACGGGGAGGCCAUGGUGUGAAAGAUAGUCAGCCAUCUUCAGACCAGAGGGCUGACCCUUUAACAGCAGGUUUGUAGACCCUGAGGUCUAUCAUUGGAAGAAUUAACCUAUCACUGCCUGCCCUCCUCAUAGUUCAAUGAGAAUGACAAGGGAUUUUAAAUACCAAGCCACAUUGGAGCAGGUGUCGUCAUAAUAUUUUGUGGCACAACAUUUGACUUGGCCAGAAUCAAGCCACGUUCUUAACCAAACCUUUUUUUGAGGAAUUUGUUUAAUUCUCAUUUGCUCUCUAGGAAAGGAUGAUACAGACUAGUUGACCACCUAACAUAAUUUUUUCAUCCCUGCAUGACCAAACCCAUUACAGAGGGUGGGGGAAUGCCACUCAUUUGGUUUCACUUGUGCUACACCUCUGUCACUUCUGCAUUUGCUUCUGUAUCUUACUCAAUUCAUGCAUACUAAACCAAUUGCUAUUAAGACAAUCAAAUUCCCAGUCCCUGCACAGCAGCACACUUAGCAGAGAAAAGUACCUGGGCUUGGGCACUCGUUCGUCAGGAACUGGUGUCCAGAUUGAAUCUGGAGACUUCUGUUCUUUGAAUCUCCCAGUAAAUACAUUGGCAAUGUCAACAAUAUCAUAAGCGCAGACUGCAGAGCCAGGGAUGCUGCAAUGUGACAUUUCCAGAAAUAGUUACUCAUUCUGAAGUUAUGCAUUUUUUUUUUGUCUGAGAAACAUGCUGCAUAGAAGCCUUCCUGUCACACGCAUUCAAUCCUGAACAUUCCAACCUUUGGGUAUUGAUUAUAAAAAGCUGCCCCCAUAAAGACAUUUGAGAUGCUCCAACAGGCAGCAAGUUCCUGUCAGAACUACUUGCUUCCAAAAAGAUAAAAACAAUAGCAUAUUACCGUAAUUUUGAAUUCCCUAAAAGAUUCAGAAACACAUUUCUGACAACUUGUGGUACCAAGAAAGUACUAGAUUAUCAAAAUCACAACCCAUUUUCUGGAUGGAAACUCAAGGUGUAUAUUUAAUAUAUUAAAUCUUACAGGCCCAGCUGUAUCUCUAAUUGAAUUCUAGAAACCAUUCAGAUGCUGGAGCAGAUAUAUUUUACAUAUUGAUGCACAUCACUCAACCUGAAAGUUCAGCAAAAUAUUACUAUCCAUCCGUUGUGGUUCUGAGCAUCAUUUGAUUUUCCUGUAUGUUUCUGGCUGAGUUCCUAUGAGCAAGAAUUUGCUUAACUCAGUCAGCUAUAAAGAGUGUGAAGAAGCAAAUGUAGCUUUGCCUUACUCCCACUAAAAUUUAAAUUUGAAUUUUCUGACUAUUUGCAUGUAACCUAAUAGUAGCAAUCACUAAAUAUAAUUACAGUCUUACACAAACACUUUUGGUAGGCUUGGAUGUUUCUUUUAGGCAAUAACUUCCAGGUAUGAAUUAUUCAUUGGUCUGCCUUUGUUGUUUACACAUGAUCUACUGUAGUACAUUUGUGUCUGACUUAAGCUAUAUGAUUUCUGAUCAAGUAGCAAGCACCAUCUGGCUGAGACAUAAUCCCAGUUUAGGAUAGUGAGUUAUCAUACAUCCAACCAUCAAAAUUUGGCUUUUGGGUAUGAAGUGAUAUAAAAUACACUGUUAGAGAAGAAAACUAAAAUUGAAUGUUAAGUAGAUGGUUUAAUUAUCCAAAUAUGGAAAUAC